rnacentral:rRNA from 1 species
CGGGGUGAGUAAUGUCUGGGAAACUGCCUGAUGGAGGGGGAUAACUGCUGGAAACGGUAGCUAAUACCGCAUAACGUCGCAAGACCAAAGAGGGGGACCUUCGGGCCUCUUGCCAUCGGAUGUGCCCAGAUGGGAUUAGCUAAUAGGUGGGGUAACGGCUCACCUAGGCGACGAUCCCUAGCUGGUCUGAGAGGAUGGCCAGCCACACUGGAACUGAGACACGGUCCAG